UUGAAGAGUUUGAUCAUGGCUCAGAUUGAACGCUGGCGGCAGGCCUAACACAUGCAAGUCGAGCGGUAGCACAGAGAGCUUGCUCUCGGGUGACGAGCGGCGGACGGGUGAGUAAUGUCUGGGAAACUGCCUGAUGGAGGGGGAUAACUACUGGAAACGGUAGCUAAUACCGCAUAAUGUCGCAAGACCAAAGUGGGGGACCUUCGGGCCUCAUGCCAUCAGAUGUGCCCAGAUGGGAUUAGCUAGUAGGUGGGGUAACGGCUCACCUAGGCGACGAUCCCUAGCUGGUCUGAGAGGAUGACCAGCCACACUGGAACUGAGACACGGUCCAGACUCCUACGGGAGGCAGCAGUGGGGAAUAUUGCACAAUGGGCGCAAGCCUGAUGCAGCCAUGCCGCGUGUGUGAAGAAGGCCUUCGGGUUGUAAAGCACUUUCAGCGGGGAGGAAGGCGUUAAGGUUAAUAACCUUGGCGAUUGACGUUACCCGCAGAAGAAGCACCGGCUAACUCCGUGCCAGCAGCCGCGGUAAUACGGAGGGUGCAAGCGUUAAUCGGAAUUACUGGGCGUAAAGCGCACGCAGGCGGUCUGUCAAGUCGGAUGUGAAAUCCCCGGGCUCAACCUGGGAACUGCAUUCGAAACUGGCAGGCUAGAGUCUUGUAGAGGGGGGUAGAAUUCCAGGUGUAGCGGUGAAAUGCGUAGAGAUCUGGAGGAAUACCGGUGGCGAAGGCGGCCCCCUGGACAAAGACUGACGCUCAGGUGCGAAAGCGUGGGGAGCAAACAGGAUUAGAUACCCUGGUAGUCCACGCCGUAAACGAUGUCGAUUUGGAGGUUGUGCCCUUGAGGCGUGGCUUCCGGAGCUAACGCGUUAAAUCGACCGCCUGGGGAGUACGGCCGCAAGGUUAAAACUCAAAUGAAUUGACGGGGGCCCGCACAAGCGGUGGAGCAUGUGGUUUAAUUCGAUGCAACGCGAAGAACCUUACCUGGUCUUGACAUCCACAGAACUUUCCAGAGAUGGAUUGGUGCCUUCGGGAACUGUGAGACAGGUGCUGCAUGGCUGUCGUCAGCUCGUGUUGUGAAAUGUUGGGUUAAGUCCCGCAACGAGCGCAACCCUUAUCCUUUGUUGCCAGCGGUCCGGCCGGGAACUCAAAGGAGACUGCCAGUGAUAAACUGGAGGAAGGUGGGGAUGACGUCAAGUCAUCAUGGCCCUUACGACCAGGGCUACACACGUGCUACAAUGGCAUAUACAAAGAGAAGCGACCUCGCGAGAGCAAGCGGACCUCAUAAAGUAUGUCGUAGUCCGGAUUGAGUCUGCAACUCGACUCCAUGAAGUCGGAAUCGCUAGUAAUCGUAGAUCAGAAUGCUACGGUGAAUACGUUCCCGGGCCUUGUACACACCGCCCGUCACACCAUGGGAGUGGGUUGCAAAAGAAGUAGGUAGCUUAACCUUCGGGAGGGCGCUUACCACUUUGUGAUUCAUGACUGGGGUGAAGUCGUAACAAGGUAACCGUAGGGGAACCUGCGGUUGGAUCACCUCCUU
rnacentral:rRNA from 1 species